AGGCUCUGGCAGCACAUUUACUAAAGUGGAACAAUAUAGAGUAGACUGGCAUGGCCUAGCCUAAAGAUGCCACCAACCUUCAUGAAGUAUUUUAUAUAUGU
rnacentral:snRNA from 1 species